AUGGCGGACGCUCAUGGCGACGCCGGCGCAGGGGCCGGAGAUGUAGUGGAGCUGCAGGGCGUGGUGACCGCGGAUGAAGUGAAGGACGUUGGCGGCAUCCAUGGCGGUGCGGGGAAACUCGCAACCGAUGCGGAUGUGGAGAAGGAGAUGGCGGGCUCUGCCUCAGCGCUGUCGGAGCAGAAGGUGACAGCGUCGACCGACGCAGUCCAUCCCGAUGCGCAGCCUGGCGAGGAGCAGGAGGAGGAUGAUGGUUGGAGGAAAAAGAGGAAGCUGGACCUUACUGGGUUCAAGGACCUGCACGAUCCAAGGUAUAGUGACGAAGAAGAGUAUGAGUAUGUCUCUGGAGAAGAUGUGGAUGUGGAUGACGGCAACUUCGUGUCCUUCAAAGCGAAGGAAGAGGAGAAGAUCAAGGCCAAGGGAGAUGAUUACUACUACAAGCGCAAGACCAAUAUUUGGCGUUGUCCCUACUGCACCACCAAGCCAAAGCCAAAGUCCGGCCGCUUCGUUCACCUUCUAGCUCAUGCAGAAGAUGUAGUCAUCCAUGGCGAGGACUACAAGAUCAAGGGGCAGCAUGCUGCCCUAGAGAAGUCCUGA
rnacentral:rRNA from 1 species